rnacentral:lncRNA from 1 species
GAUAUUUUUAUUUAAAUAAGAGAGAUAAUUUGUUACUUCCGGUUUGAAAAAUUUCACUUCUGGUAUAAUUUGAUAGUUUUGUUGACACUGAUCCCAAACGUAUGUUUCUAUAUACUUGUACAUUACAAAAGUACAAAAAAUAGCUACUUCCUGUUUACACAAGGUCGAUUCAGGUUGGUUUUUCAAAGGUCAUAUGACUUGCAACCUAAUGCAAAGAGUCCUAUGGCUGUAUCAUGUAUACAUAUGAAGAAAAAUCAAAGGUUAAAAUCUAGAACGUCAAAGGAGUAAGGUAAGGGUCGAUUUUGGCCUCAAAUUUCAGGUUCAUCUAAUGAAAGAUUUUGCACACUUUUUAAACACUUAAGUGUCUAUUUCAAUUGAUUCAAUUAGUUUAUGUGAAAAAUUUUAACUGAUUUAGUAAUUAAAAACGCCCCGAUUCAAGCUUAAAUAUGAAAAAUCUAUCAAACAUGCUAAAAAA